AGCGCCGCGGCUCGGCUCCGCUGCCGCCCGUCGGGGCGGCUGGGGCCGGGCUCUCCCGUGCCGGCGAGACACUCACCACCACGAGGAGUCGGCGCGGGGCGGCAGGGCGAGCAGGAUGAGGACGAAGGGCAGCUGAUAGCAGCGGUGGAUGCGGCAGAGCUGUGGGUGCGGUAUGGUUUGGUACAUGCCAGUGAAGGCAAUUCCCUGCUUUUGUCGUCAUCCUGGAUUUGGUGCUCGCUCCUUCUGGGGCUCUGAAACCUGGACUUCAAGUUAGCCCUGGUGCCCGUGAGGAACCCGACGAGUUUCACCUUGCCCAAAGAUCUCCUCGUGCUUCAAGCUGCCAUCACCAUCACAGACGCGAGGGCUGAUCCAGCAGAGAGCACAGGGCACAGUGUUGUGCUGUGAGGCGGGAGCUGCUCGGGAGGCUCUGCAGGAGGAGGAACCAGGAAGCUUAACCUCUGGCUUGUGAGCUGUCAGAUCAGUGGCUCGGGAGGGAGAAGCCAAAUGUCAGGCACAUGAUGCCUGUACUGCUGCAUUUAGGGAUAUAGAUCAAGAUGAAAUAACCCUCUGUGAACUGCGGAGGCAUCGACAUCGUUGCAGCCAAAUGGUGCUCCUGGGAGGAUCUGGGGAGAGCUGCUCUGGGCAAGGUCA